GGGGGGCAGCUGCACGCGCGGGAAGGAGUACAUGGCGCCCUGCACCGGGUUGCAGUGGAUGCCGGGAGCCUCGUUGAAGACCUGUUCAGUGAGCUUGGCCUUGGCCGCCAGCUCGGCCAGCACCUCCCGCUUCUCCUGCGGCCGUGGAGGGAGGGCUGGUCAGGCCGGGCCGGGGGCUCGGCGCCCUCAGCCCUCGCGUGCCCGCGACUCUGACCCCCUCGGCCGCGCCCACUCACCGCCUGGAACUGCGCGAAGGAGGGGUCUGAGGGCGCGGGCGGGCUGAGCACCGCGUCCAGCAGGACCUGGCCCGGCGUAGGCGGGCACAGCCGCACGCUCCUCAGCUUCUGCAUCUGCUGCUGCACCGCGGCGUCCAUGUUCACCACCUCCACGUAGCCGCCGCGGAAGCCGCACCUGCGAGGCAAGGGCGGGCGUCGAGGCAGGGCCGGGAGGAAAGGAACGAACGGCCCCGAGGGCACCUCGGGUCGGGCGGUGGCCGAGGUUCGCCAGUCCCCGCCCGUCGGCCCGCACGCACUCGCCCAUGAAGCCCUUGGAGACCGAGUGGAAGGAUGCGAGCUCCUGCCGCGCCGCGUACGGCGGCCCCAUCUCCGUGAGCACCUUCUUGAACGAGUGGAACUGCGAGCCCUCGGCGUACACGUUGUCCUGAUACACCUGGACGGGCGGACGGGCGUCACCCGGGGGCCCGCCGCUGCCCUCCAUGCCCUCCCCCACGGGCGCCCCGGCCAGCACCUCAUCGGCCAGCAGGAAGAGCCCCUCCUCAUAGGCGAAGCGGAUCACGGCCUCGAUGCACUCGCGAGUCUGCACCUGCCCUGGGGCAAGGAGGCGCGACAGGUCCGGGGUCGUUGCGGGCAGCUGCCUCCAGAAGGGCAACGCUGGGAGGGAAGAGGACCCGCUUCUGCCGCCUGCCACCGGCUGCCUCCUCCUGCGACCGCUCCUUCUGGCCCUUCCUACCCUGGGCCUCCUUCUCAGCCUGGGCCCACAUCUUCACCUGCUGGGCGCGUCGCUUCUGGGCAUGCUUCAGCCGCUCCUGUGUGCUCAUCCUGGCCACCACAGGCAUCUCUGCCAGAAGCUCCAGGCCAAGGAUGGAAUCAAAAUAGAAAACAGAACAUAUUUCAGAGUUCCCAUCGUGGCUCAGCGAUCAACAAACAAGACUAGGAACCAUGAGGUUGCAGGUUCAAUCCCUGGCCUCCAUGAGUGGGUUAAGGAUCCGGUAUUGCCGAGAGCUGUGGUGUAGGUGGCAGAUGCGGCUCGGAUCACAUGUUGCUGUGGCUCUGGUGGAGGCCGGCAGCUGCACCUCUGAUUAGAUCCCUAGCCUGGGAACCUCCAUGUGCCGCAGGUGUGGCUCUAAAAAAAAAAAAAGGUGUUGGAACGACUGGAGCGACUGGAUAGCCACGGAAAACAAAGCUCCUCGACCUCUGCUCACACCAUAAGAGAAAGCACAAACCACAAUGGAGAAAAAUGACAAAUGACUUCAUCUAAAUUAAAUGUGUUGGCGUUCCCGUUGUAGCACAGUGGAAAUGAAUCCAACUAGGAACCAUAAGGCUGUGGGUUCAAUCCCGGGCCUCGCUCCGUGGGUUAAGGAUCUGGCGUUGCCAUGAACUGUGGUGUGGGUCUCAGACGCAGCUCAGAUCUGGCACUGCUGUGGCUGUGGGGUAGGCCAGCAGCUGCAGCUCCAAUUCAACCCCUGGCCUGGGAACCUCCACAUGCUGUGGGUGGAGCCCUAAAAAGCCAAAAAAAAAAAAAAAAAAAAAAAAAAAAAAA
rnacentral:lncRNA from 1 species